GUGCGAGUGCAUCAUCCAUUAAAACAAGGAUUAAAAC
rnacentral:other from 1 species